rnacentral:rRNA from 1 species
UACAGAGGGUGCAAGCGUUAAUCGGAAUUACUGGGCGUAAAGCGCGCGUAGGCGGUUGUUUAAGUUGGAUGUGAAAGCCCCGGGCUCAACCUGGGAUGGUCAUUCAAAACUGGGCAACUAGAAUGUGAUAGAGGACAGUGGAAUUUCUAGUGUAGCGGUGAAAUGCGUAGAUAUUAGAAGGAACAUCAGUGGCGAAGGCGACUGUCUGGGUUAACAUUGACGCUGAGGUGCGAAAGCGUGGGUAGCGAACGGG